AUUGAACGCUGGCGGCAGGCCUAACACAUGCCAGUCGAGCGGAUGAAGGGAGCUUGCUCCUGGAUUCAGCGGCGGACGGGUGAGUAAUGCCUAGGAAUCUGCCUGGUAGUGGGGGAUAACGUCCGGAAACGGGCGCUAAUACCGCAUACGUCCUGAGGGAGAAAGUGGGGGAUCUUCGGACCUCACGCUAUCAGAUGAGCCUAGGUCGGAUUAGCUAGUUGGUGGGGUAAAGGCCUACCAAGGCGACGAUCCGUAACUGGUCUGAGAGGAUGAUCAGUCACACUGGAACUGAGGCACGGUCCAGACUCCUACGGGAGGCAGCAGUGGGGAAUAUUGGACAAAGGGCGAAAGCCUGAUCCAGCCAUGCCGCGUGUGUGAAGAAGGUCUUCGGAUUGUAAAGCACUUUAAGUUGGGAGGAAGGGCAGUAAGUUAAUACCUUGCUGUUUUGACGUUACCAACAGAAUAAGCACCGGCUAACUUCGUG
rnacentral:rRNA from 1 species